UUGACUCUAGUCUGGCACGGUGA
rnacentral:piRNA from 2 species